rnacentral:rRNA from 1 species
GACGAACGCUGGCGGCGCGCCUAACACAUGCAAGUCGAACGAGCGAGAGAGAGCUUGCUUUCUCGAGCGAGUGGCGAACGGGUGAGUAACGCGUGAGGAACCUGCCUCAAAGAGGGGGACAACAGUUGGAAACGACUGCUAAUACCGCAUAAGCCCACGGCUCGGCAUCGAGCAGAGGGAAAAGGAGCAAUCCGCUUUGAGAUGGCCUCGCGUCCGAUUAGCUAGUUGGUGAGGUAACGGCCCACCAAGGCGACGAUCGGUAGCCGGACUGAGAGGUUGAACGGCCACAUUGGGACUGAGACACGGCCCAGACUCCUACGGGAGGCAGCAGUGGGGAAUAUUGCACAAUGGGGGAAACCCUGAUGCAGCGACGCCGCGUGGAGGAAGAAGGUCUUCGGAUUGUAAACUCCUGUUGUUGGGGAAGAUAAUGACGGUACCCAACAAGGAAGUGACGGCUAACUACGUGCCAGCAGCCGCGGUAAAACGUAGGUCACAAGCGUUGUCCGGAAUUACUGGGUGUAAAGGGAGCGCAGGCGGGAAGACAAGUUGGAAGUGAAAUCUAUGGGCUCAACCCAUAAACUGCUUUCAAAACUGUUUUUCUUGAGUAGUGCAGAGGUAGGCGGAAUUCCCGGUGUAGCGGUGGAAUGCGUAGAUAUCGGGAGGAACACCAGUGGCGAAGGCGGCCUACUGGGCACCAACUGACGCUGAGGCUCGAAAGUGUGGGUAGCAAACAGGAUUAGAUACCCUGGUAGUCCACACCGUAAACGAUGAUUACUAGGUGUUGGAGGAUUGACCCCUUCAGUGCCGCAGUUAACACAAUAAGUAAUCCACCUGGGGAGUACGACCGCAAGGUUGAAACUCAAAGGAAUUGACGGGGGCCCGCACAAGCAGUGGAGUAUGUGGUUUAAUUCGACGCAACGCGAAGAACCUUACCAAGUCUUGACAUCCCUUGACAGGCAUAGAAAUAUGUUUUCUCUUCGGAGCAAGGAGACAGGUGGUGCAUGGUUGUCGUCAGCUCGUGUCGUGAGAUGUUGGGUUAAGUCCCGCAACGAGCGCAACCCUUAUGGUCAGUUACUACGCAAGAGGACUCUGGCCAGACUGCCGUUGACAAAACGGAGGAAGGUGGGGAUGACGUCAAAUCAUCAUGCCCUUUAUGACUUGGGCUACACACGUACUACAAUGGCGUUAAACAAAGAGAAGCAAGACCGCGAGGUGGAGCAAAACUCAGAAACAACGUCCCAGUUCGGACUGCAGGCUGCAACUCGCCUGCACGAAGUCGGAAUUGCUAGUAAUCGUGGAUCAGCAUGCCACGGUGAAUACGUUUCCCGGGCCU